AUGACGAAGCUCUACAAAAUCCGCUCCCAUGCCCACAUCCGAGCCCUGCUGGCCCGCGCCGAUGAGCUGGGCCGCUCCCAUAAGUUCAUGCUUGUGAAUCUUGUCUCUCUGGAGUCGGUGCGCAUGGCGCGCGAGUCGUAUGCACUCCUCUGCCCGCUCAUCAUGGAGGCGAUGUUCUGGUCAUGCGGGGAGCUGGAUUCCCUCUCGGUCGUGGCAGGCUUGUCGCUGGAAAUCCAAAAGCUCGAGCAAGAUCUGUUACCCCAGCUCAUGGUUCAUGAGGCCAAGCUGGAACGGGGCGCCCUGGAAGCCCUCGUACUCAUGAAGAACUCAGCAAUUACGCUCUUACAUCUGAGUAAGUGCUUUAAGGAAGCCUUGGGCGUAUUGCUUGCCAAGGAGGAUCUGGUCUCAGACCGAGUCGAACAGCUGAGCAUAAUGCUAAAGGAUACUGCUGUUAAUGUACUCGAAGGUAAAUGCAACGGUGUCUGGCUUCAGGGGCGUGUCCUGUGGCUGGUCCAGCUGGUCAACCAUGUGUUGGAGACCCCGGUUCGUUUCUGUGAUCCUGAUGAGUUUCCUGAUGAGCUAGACUUAUCAGCCUGCUCGAGGCUGUUGUGA
rnacentral:rRNA from 1 species